rnacentral:sRNA from 1 species
GGCGGUCCGGGCCCCUCGCCACUACCGCCGCCGCCGCCGCCGUGAGUCCCGCGGAGCCGCGCGCGCCCCCGGCUGGGCCGAGCCGCUGGCCGACGAGCGGAGCCGCAGGAGCCGGCGGGGACGCCAUGCGAGCCAGAUCCCUUCUGUGAGGAUGAAAUUGAAAACUCCGGUUUCUGGCUUGGCGAUCGGGUGACCCAGCAGCCGCGAGGUGACAGCGCCGGCGGCCCGCGGGCGGGGACCGGCUGGGAUAGAGGCGCGUUGUUCUCUGAGCGAUGUUUACCGAGAAGCCCGCUCCGCGGCACGGGCGGGUGUCUGUUGGGACCCCAACCCUGGGUCCCGCGGCUCCUAGCCCGGGGCCUGCGGUGUAGACGGGGGUUGGGGACAGGCCCAGCUGGCCCUGACCGGGUGUCGGGCGCCCAGAGAUGCCGCGCGGGAGGAGCCGCGGGAGAGCCGCCGGACUCAGCGAGCAGAGAGGGUCGUGGAGCCUGAUGGAUCGAUGAGAUCUGAAAAAGAACACUGUGCGAGAUUGUAUUCCUGCUUAUUCUUUCCAAGUUAGUAGGCAGAUUGGAACUAUAGAAUUUAUCCGUGAUAAUAAUAAAGUUCGCAUAACUUUU